rnacentral:SRP_RNA from 1 species
GCCGGGCAUGGUGGCGCGUGCCUGUAGUCCCAGCUAUUCGGGAGGCUGAGGUUGGAGGAUCGCUUGAGCCCAGGAGUUCUGGGCUGCAGUGCGCUAUGCCAAUCGGGUGUCCGCACUAAGUUCGGUAUCAAUAUGGUGACCUCCUGGGAGAUGGGGACCACCAGGUAACCUAAUGAGGGGUGAACCGGCCCAGGUCGGAAAUGGAGCAGGUCAAAACUCCCGUGCUGAUCAGUAGUGGGAUCGUGCCUAUGAAUAGCCACUGCACUCCAGCCUGGGCAACAUAGCGAGACCCCAUCUCA